CUGAUAAAGUUUUUCGCACAUUUUAUACACCAGAUCCUGAGAACAUUGAAAAGAAGGGAAGGAUGAGUUACUUUGGAACAAUCAUGGAAAGAGGAAAAGAGAAUGAAGGAGACCGAGAGAAGGAGGAAACAAACAACUCAUCGGUCAUUUCCAAAUCUGUCAGAUAACUGAAUGGAAAAUGCCAGCCAACACAGCAAGAGCAAAUCCAGUAGUAAUCAUGAAAACGGAGGCGGAACCAAUCAAGAUACAGGAAACCAAUCAAGUAGGGGAAAACGGAAGUGCGACGUAUAGAGUAAAAAUGGAGUUAGCUCUACAGGAGGAAAUAAUUAGCUGCUUCUCUUUCUCUGAUAGCUGCGAAGCAACAGACAGGAAUCUCAUUAAAAAUCUAAUGCAGGAAGGUUCGGACAGGGCUGAAGAACCUGUUGCUCAGAAUUAUUCAACUGUGGCUAGAUCAGCGAGGAUAUAUCAGUCUGGCAUCUUCCGAAAUAAUCCUAGAGGAAUCCACUAUUUGUUUUACGUUGAGCAAUAGUAAUUUCCAAUACCAUUUUGUGUAGUGGCUGCUCCACUAGACCUUUCGGUGAGGCAAGCAGCCAAGAAGAGUGCAACUUCCACAAUGACCACGUGCAACUCAAGCUGAUGGGCCACUGCUAUGCCUUGCACUGCGAGCUUGCUGCCACCGAACGCCGGCGACUUCAACUGUAAGUCUCUCUUUGAUACAUACAUGGAGUUGCCGACUCUCUGCUAUUGGGAAGGUAAGAAGUGAAACAGAAGGUCGGCAACCUCUCUACUAUAUGAAAGUUACCCUAUAUCUCAAGUUUUCUCUAGUUUUUGUAAAUCUUUCUAGUACUGAAGUUGUGAUUUUAGUUAUUGUGGACGUUUUAUCGCAGGAUGCGUUGGGGUAGGCGACGGGACCUGAUGAGAUACCUGUGGAUUUUUGGAAGUUCUUUAGUAAGGCUGGCUUAAGGUGGUUGACUGUAUUAUUUAACGGCAUUUUCAAGUCGGCGAAAAUGCCCGAGGCUUGUUGAUGGAGUACUAUGAUCCCUCUUUAUAAGAAUAAGAGUGACAUUCAGAGUUGCAAUAACUAUAGAGGUAUUAAGUUAUUGAGCCACACUAUGAAGAUUUGGGAGAGUGGUCGAGUUGAGGUUGAGGAGGAUAGUGUCUAUCUCGGAAAGUUAGUUUGGAUUUAUGCUCGGGCGCUCGACGACGGAGGCAAUUCACCUGGUGCGGAGACUGGUGGAACAGUAUAGGGAAAGGAAGAGAGAUCUGCAUAUGGUGUUUAUCGACUUGGAGAAGACUUACGACAAAGUCCCUAGGGAGGUGCUUUGAAGAUGCUUGAAGGUGAGUGGAGUACCGAUGGCGUAUAUUAGAGCAAUCAAGGACAUGUAUAAUGGAGCUAAGACUCAGAUGAGGACGGCGAGAGGAGACUCAGAGCAUUUCCCUGUCUUGACGGGGUUGCACCAGGUUCCACUCUUAGCGCCUUUUUGUUUGCUUUGGUGAUGGAUGUGUUGACGCGGCGUAUUCAAGGAGAGGUGCCUUGGUGUAUGCUUUUUGCAGAUGAUGUAGUUUUGAUUGAUGAGACGCGUGGUGGGGGGAGGUGAAUGAUAAAUUAGAGGUGUGAAGACAGACCCUUGAAUCUAAAGGGUUCAGGUUGAGCAAGAGCAAGACAGAAUAUUUGGAAUGCAAGUUUAAUGAUGUGAGGUAGGAAGACGAGGUGGUAGUGAGGUUGGAUUCCCAGACGGUGUGUAAGAGGGAUAGUUUCAAGUAUCUGGGGUCCAUGAUUCGGGGAAUGGUGAGAUUGACGAGGAUGUCUCCCACCGUAUUGGGGCGGGAUGAAUGAAGUGGAAGCUCGCCUCGGGGGUGUUGUGUGAUAGGAAGGUGCCGCCCAAGCUUAAAGGCAAAUUCUACAGGAUGACAGUCCGUCCGGCCAUGUUGUAUGGAGCGGAAUGUUGGCCAGUCAAGAACUCUCACAUUCAAAAAUUGAAGGUGGCGGAAAUGCGGAUGUUGCGUUGGAUUUGUGGGCUUAAUAGGGGUGAUAGAGUUCGAAAUGAGACUAUUCAGGAAAAGCUUGGAGUGGCUUCGGUGGAGGACAAGAUGCGGGAAGUUCGAUUGAGAUGGUUCGGGCAUGUGAUGAGGAGGGGCACGAAUGCCCCGAUUCGUAGGUGUGAGAAGCUUGCUUUGGAUGGUUUCAGGCGGGGUAGGGAUAGGCCGAAGAAAUAUUGGAGAGAGGUGAUCAGGCGGGACAUGGAGCAGUUACAGCUCACUGAGGACAUGACCCUAGAUAGUAAGAUCUAGAGGACGCGGAUUAGGAUAGAAGGCUAGUGCCAGUUUGAGUCGUUGGGGUAGGACAUUACUUGGUAAAUGUAUUAUUCUUGCUAGGACACUUUGUUGCAUGAGUUAUUACAAAUGUGUUUACUAUUCCUCGUGGGUGGCGUAUUUAUGUCUUGAUAUCUUGUUCCAUGCUUUAUUAAGUAUUUGUUUAUUAU